rnacentral:sRNA from 1 species
UAUUGCCGAAUUUCCGAAGUCGGAAAACGGGGGAACCGUCUUGGGUGUAUUAAUCCUGAAAACAAGGGAUUAUAGGGAACCUUCUACCGAACCCUCAGCUAACCUCGUAGGCAACGAAGGGAGAA